UACGUAGGGAGCUAGCGUUGUUCGGAAUUACUGGGCGUAAAGGGCGCGUAGGCGGACAUCUAAGUCAGGGGUGAAAUCCCAGGGCUCAACCCUGGAAUUGCCUUUGAUACUGGACGUCUCGAGUUCGGGAGAGGUGAGUGGAAUUCCGAGUGUAGAGGUGAAAUUCGUAGAUAUUCGGAGGAACACCAGAAGCGAAGGCGGCUCACUGGCACGAUACUGACGCUGAGGCGCGAAAGCGUGGGGAGCAAACAGG
rnacentral:rRNA from 1 species